GACGAACGCUGGCGGCGUGCUUAACACAUGCAAGUCGAGCGGAAAGGCCCUUCGGGGUACUCGAGCGGCGAACGGGUGAGUCACACGUGAGUAACCUGCCCCAGACUUUGGGAUAACCCUCGGAAACGGGGGCUAAUACCGGAUACGACACAGCUUCGCAUGGGGUCUGUGUGGAAAGUUUUUCGGUUUGGGAUGGGCUCGCGGCCUAUCAGCUUGUUGGUGGGGUGAUGGCCUACCAAGGCGACGACGGGUAGCCGGCCUGAGAGGGCGACCGGCCACACUGGGACUGAGACACGGCCCAGACUCCUACGGGAGGCAGCAGUGGGGAAUAUUGCACAAUGGGCGGAAGCCUGAUGCAGCGACGCCGCGUGAGGGAUGACGGCCUUCGGUUUGUAAACCUCUUUCAGCAGGGACGAAGCGUAAGUGACGGUACCUGCAGAAGAAGCGCCGGCCAACUACGUG
rnacentral:rRNA from 1 species